GAUGAAGAACGUAGCGAAAUGCGAUAAGUAAUGUGAAUUGCAGAAUUCAGUGAAUCAUCGAAUCUUUGAACGCACAUUGCGCCCGCCAGUAUUCUGGCGGGCAUGCCUGUUCGAGCGUCAUUUCAACCCUCAGGCCCCGCCUGGCGUUGGGGAUCGGCGCGGCCCUCUCCGGGCUGCCGGCCCCGAAAACUAGUGGCGGUCUCGCUGUAGUCCUCCUCUGCGCAGUAGCAACGCUCGCACUGGAACUCGGCGCGGCCACGCCGUAAAACACCCCACUUCUGAAAGUUGACCUCGGAUCAGGUAGGAAUACCCGCUGAACUUAAGCAUAUCAAUAAGGGAGGA
rnacentral:misc_RNA from 1 species